rnacentral:rRNA from 1 species
CCAGACCGCCAGCUAAGGUCCCAAAGUCAUGGUUAAGUGGGAAACGAUGUGGGAAGGCCCAGACAGCCAGGAUGUUGGCUUAGAAGCAGCCAUCAUUUAAAGAAAGCGUAAUAGCUCACUGGUCGAGUCGGCCUGCGCGGAAGAUGUAACGGGGCUAAACCAUGCACCGAAGCUGCGGCAGCGACACUGUGUGUUGUUGGGUAGGGGAGCGUUCUGUAAGCCUGUGAAGGUGUGUCGUGAGGC